GCCCCUGUAGUCUAGUGGAUUCAAAGCCGCAAAGGACGCAAGAUUGCGGAUCUUGAAACCCGGGUUCGAUUCCCGGCAGGGGCG
rnacentral:tRNA from 1 species